CCUGUGUGACUGCGUACCUUUUGUAUAAUGGGUCAGCGACUUAUAUUCUGUAGCAAGGUUAACCGUAUAGGGGAGCCGAAGGGAAACCGAGUCUUAACCGGGCGUUAAGUUGCAGGGUAUAGACCCGAAACCCGGUGAUCUAGCCAUGGGCAGGUUGAAGGUUGGGUAACACUAACUGGAGGACCGAACCGACUAAUGUUGAAAAAUUAGCGGAUGACCUGUGGCUGGGGGUGAAAGGCCAAUCAAACCGGGAGAUAGCUGGUUCUCCCCGAAAGCUAUUUAGGUAGCGCCUCGUGAAUUCAUCUCCGGGGGUAGAGCACUGUUUCGGCUAGGGGGCCAUCCCGGCUUACCAACCCGAUGCAAACUGCGAAUACCGGAGAAUGUUAUCACGGGAGACACACGGCGGGUGCUAACGUCCGUCGUGAAGAGGGAAACAACCCAGACCGCCAGCUAAGGUCCCAAAGUCAUGGUUAAGUGGGAAACGAUGUGGGAAGGCCCAGACAGCCAGGAUGUUGGCUUAGAAGCAGCCAUCAUUUAAAGAAAGCGUAAUAGCUCACUGGUCGAGUCGGCCUGCGCGGAAGAUGUAACGGGGCUAAACCAU
rnacentral:rRNA from 1 species